UACGGGGGGGGCAAGCGUUGUUCGGAAUUACUGGGCGUAAAGGGCUCGUAGGCGGCCAACUAAGUCAGACGUGAAAUCCCCAGGCUCAACCUGGGAACUGCGUCUGAUACUGGAUGGCUUGAAUCCGGGAGAGGGAUGCGGAAUUCCAGGUGUAGCGGUGAAAUGCGUAGAUAUCGGUAGGAACACCAGUGGCGCAGGCGGUCUCCUGGGGCAGUCUUGACGCUGAGGCGCGGAAAGCUGGGGGAGCGAACGGG
rnacentral:rRNA from 1 species